ACUGGAAAUGUUUAGGAGCAGCCCCCACAGCGGUUGCUAACACCUGGUCUUUGGGAAGGUGCCACUGUCACUGCAACUUAGGCAGCAGAGCACAGAGCACUUCAGUAUUGAAUCAAACCACCAAGUCCCUCUCUGUAUUAAAGUAGUUCUCAUUGCAUUAAUUGAAGUUACUUCUUUUUUUUUUUUUUUUUUUUCUGUUUAGAACAAUCUUAAAUUGGGGUAGCCCCUGUGGUGGUUGUUAUCCUAAGUUGUUCGUGACCUCUGUUGUAAGCAUCAUUAUAACAAGACAAUAAAGUAUUCUUUGAAGGAAACUAAGCCAUGAGAUACAAACCUUUGCUUAUGGAAGUUUAAAAUCUUAGAUUGUCAAAAUGUUAAGGUUCAUAGAGAUUAUCUAGUCCAAUUUUUUUCCUGUACAAAGACAUUUGAGACCCAAAAGUAAUUGACUAAGACACUGCAGUGAGCUGGAUUUAGUGUCUUGAGUUAUAGACUGGUAUUUUUCCCCCCUGAGAAGCAUUGACUCUUGGUUUAUUAUCCUGGUAAUUGUGAUCCAAUCACAGGAAUUGUCUAAGGCUGAGUUAGUCUGUAAAAUGGACAUAGGAAAAACAUACACCUCCCAGAGCCACAGUGCAUGUGAGUGGGGAAGAUACAGUCUUCUCCAGGGUUGCAAGCAAAGGUGUGCCCUCAUUGUCUCUAUCAUGCCAUCAGCAUUUCUAUGUGCAUGUCUAAGGACACAUAGAGAAGCUCCAUUCCCUUUCUAAUUGGAAAUUGGGCUCUUCUUUUUAAAACAUCAUUUUAUUUAUGUACAUUCCAAAUGUUGUCCUCCCUCCCUGUCCUCCCUCCCAGAGUUCUUCACCCCAUUCCCAUUCCCCUUGCCCUUUGGCUCUAAGAGGGUGUUCCCCCACCUCACCUCACCUCCUCCUCAGGCUUCACCCUUCCCUGGGAAAUCAAGUCUCUACAGGACUAGGUACAUCAUCUCUCACUGAGGCCAGAUAAGACAGUCCUCUGCUACAUGUGUGCCUGGGGGCAGGGGUGGGGGUGGAGGUAGACAUGGUAGGGGGUGGAGGUAGGCCCAUGUUUCAUGUAUGCUCUUUGGUUGGUGGCUUAGUCUCUGGGAGCUGAGAAGUCUGAGUUAGUUGACACUGUUGGUCUUCCUAUGGGGUUGCCAUCCCCUUCAGCUCCUCAAUCCUUCCCCUAAAUCUUCCACAGGGGUCCCUGACUUCAGUCCAGUGGUUGUCUAUGUCUGCAUCUGUCUCAGUCAGCUGCUGGUAGAGGCUCUCAGUGGACAACCAUGCUAGGUUCCUGUCUGCAAUCACAUCAUAGCAUCAAUAAUAGUGUCAGAGUUUGGUGCCCACCCAUGGGAUGGAUCCCAAAUUAGAUCUGUCACUCGUUGGCCGUUCCUUCAGUCUCUGCUCCAUUUUUGUCCCUUUAUUUCUUUAUGACAGGAAAAAUUCUGGGUCAAAACUUUUGAAGGUGGGGUGGUGACCCCCAUCCUUCCACUGGGGACCCUGUCCAUCCACUGGGGGUGGUCUCUUCAGGUUCCAUCUCCCCACUGUUGGGCAUUUUAGCUAAAGUCAUCCCUAUUGAAUUCUGGGAGCCUCUCAUAUUCCAGGCUUCUGGGACUUUCUAGAGGUUCCUCCUACAACACCCCCACCCCCAAAGAAGCUGCAUAUUUUCAUUCAUUCUCAUGGCCCUCUGGGCUUCUCUUCUGUCUCCCUCCACACCUGAUCAUGCCUCCCCUUUCCCCUCCCCUUCCCCUCUUCCACUCAGGUCCCUCACUCCUUCUGUCUCCCAUGAUUAUUUUGUUCCAGUUCUAAGUAGUGUUGAAGCAUCUUCACUUGGGCCUUCCUUCUUGUUAAACUUCUUUGAUCUAUGGGUUGGAUCAUGGGUAUUCUGUACUUUUUGGCUAAUCCAUUUAUCAGUUAGUACAUACCAUGUAUGUCCUUUUGAGUCUGGGCUAUCUCACUCAGGAUGAUAUUUCCUACGUGAGAGAGGAAAAUAGCAUAGUAUGUCUGCUAUUGUUUUUAUUGUUGUGGUUGACUUGACAUGAGCUAAAGUCAUCUGGAAAGAGGGAACAUCAAUUGAGAAGAUUCCUGUAUUAUAUUGGUCUGUAAGCAAGUCUGUAGAGUAUUUUCUUGAUCAAUGAUUGAUGUGGAAGAGCCCAGCCUAUUGUGGGAAGUACCACCCCUGGACAGGUGGAUCAGGGUUAUUUAAAACAAAAC
rnacentral:lncRNA from 1 species